rnacentral:lncRNA from 1 species
UGCCACGUCAAACAGUGCAUUAUCAUACAGGAGACCACUUCUGUUGUGAUUCAGACUCUCAUAUCAUGGGAAAAGAGUCAUAAUCUUUGCAGGUAUCCCUGCAGAUUAACUGCAAAGCCUGUGAGACUGUGCACAACAGGAAAUUUGAUAAAAGACAUGGAAACCACAAAGGAGAGAACUACCAUGGGAAUUGCCUCUGAAGAAGGAAUAGAUCAGAAGCGAAUGAAAAACAUGAACUACGUGCAGGAAUGUUUAUCUCUGAAAGUCCGUGAGGUACUGGAAGCAGAACCCCUGUGAGACAGAGAACAGUGCUGAAUACAGCCUUUUCCAAAGUGUCUGAGAAGAGACAUGCAAGCCUUUUCUAGCGCAUUAUGAUCAUCUGUACACCACAUAGCAGAGGGACGUAUGAGGAGACGUGCAAUAAAUCUCAAUGCAAAAUCGAUUGCUUAUGUCCG